UGUUAGCGGCGGACGGGUGAGUAACACGUGGGUAACCUGCCUGUAAGACUGGGAUAACUCCGGGAAACCGGGGCUAAUACCGGUGCUUGUUUGAACCGCAUGGUUCAAACAUAAAAGGUGGCUUCGGCUACCACUUACAGAUGGACCCGCGGCGCAUUAGCUAGUUGGUGAGGUAAUGGCUCACCAAGGCAACGAUGCGUAGCCGACCUGAGAGGGUGAUCGGCCACACUGGGACUGAGACACGGCCCAGACUCCUACGGGAGGCAGCAGUAGGGAAUCUUCCGCAAUGGACGAAAGUCUGACGGAGCAACGCCGCGUGAGUGAUGAAGGUUUUCGGAUCGUAAAGCUCUGUUGUUAGGGAAGAACAAGUGCCGUUCGAAUAGGGCGGUACCUUGACGGUACCUAACCAGAAAGCCACGGCUAACUACGUGCCAGCAGCCGCGGUAAUACGUAGGUGGCAAGCGUUGUCCGGAAUUAUUGGGCGUAAAGGGCUCGCAGGCGGUUUCUUAAGUCUGAUGUGAAAGCCCCCGGCUCAACCGGGGAGGGUCAUUGGAAACUGGGGAACUUGAGUGCAGAAGAGGAGAGUGGAAUUCCACGUGUAGCGGUGAAAUGCGUAGAGAUGUGGAGGAACACCAGUGGCGAAGGCGACUCUCUGGUCUGUAACUGACGCUGAGGAGCGAAAGCGUGGGGAGCGAACAGGAUUAGAUACCCUGGUAGUCCACGCCGUAAACGAUGAGUGCUAAGUGUUAGGGGGUUUCCGCCCCUUAGUGCUGCAGCUAACGCAUUAAGCACUCCGCCUGGGGAGUACGGUCGCAAGACUGAAACUCAAAGGAAUUGACGGGGGCCCGCACAAGCGGUGGAGCAUGUGGUUUAAUUCGAAGCAACGCGAAGAACCUUACCAGGUCUUGACAUCCUCUGACAAUCCUAGAGAUAGGACGUCCCCUUCGGGGGCAGAGUGACAGGUGGUGCAUGGUUGUCGUCAGCUCGUGUCGUGAGAUGUUGGGUUAAGUCCCGCAACGAGCGCAACCCUUGAUCUUAGUUGCCAGCAUUCAGUUGGGCACUCUAAGGUGACUGCCGGUGACAAACCGGAGGAAGGUGGGGAUGACGUCAAAUCAUCAUGCCCCUUAUGACCUGGGCUACACACGUGCUACAAUGGACAGAACAAAGGGCAGCGAAACCGCGAGGUUAAGCCAAUCCCACAAAUCUGUUCUCAGUUCGGAUCGCAGUCUGCAACUCGACUGCGUGAAGCUGGAAUCGCUAGUAAUCGCGGUCAGCAUGCCGCGGUGAAUACGUUCCCGGGCCUUGUACACACCGCCCGUCACACCACGAGAGUUUGUAACACCCGAAGUCGGUGAGGUAACCUUUUAGGAGCCAGCCGCCGAAGGUGGGACAG
rnacentral:rRNA from 1 species